GAUGAACGCUGGCGGCGUGCCUAAUACAUGCAAGUCGAACGAAACUUCUUUAUCACCGAGUGCUUGCACUCACCGAUAAAGAGUUGAGUGGCGAACGGGUGAGUAACACGUGGGCAACCUGCCCAAAAGAGGGGGAUAACACUUGGAAACAGGUGCUAAUACCGCAUAACCAUAGUUACCGCAUGGUAACUAUGUAAAAGGUGGCUAUACUACCGCUUUUGGAUGGGCCCGCGGCGCAUUAGCUAGUUGGUAGGGUAAAGGCUUACCAAGGCAAUGAUGCGUAGCCGAAUUGAGAGGUUGAUCGGCCACAUUGGGACUGAGACACGGCCCAAACUCCUACGGGAGGCGGCAGUAGGGAAUCUUCCACAAUGGCGAAAGCCUGAUGGAGCAACGCCGCGUGGGUGAAGAAGGUCUUCGGAUCGUAAAACCCUGUUGUUAGAGAAGAAAGUGCGUGAGAGCAACUGUUCACGUUUCGACGGUAUCUAACCAGAAAGCCACGGCUAACUACGUG
rnacentral:rRNA from 1 species